GGCAGUAAGCCGCAGCAUUCCCCUCCCCCUCUCACUCUAGAAGAGGGGUUGCUGGGUGACUGGUGGGCAGGGGGUGAGCUGGCACCCGAGGGGGCGGGGGCAGGGCAGGCCCUGUGUGAAACCUCCACCUCCUCUGCUGCUGCUGUGUUUUCCUCACACCACACCGCCCCCCCCUCUGCAGACGCAGGAGUGGGGGGCUCUGACGGGGAACCUGCUGCACUAGGAGAAGAUGUGGAUGGGCUCUGCGAAGGUCAGGGGCCACACCCUCCCUUCUGUGGAUGUAAUGGCAGCAGGUAUAUGUGCAUAAGCUUUACAGCCGAAGACACGGAGAUGAUUGACAGCUGUUUUUUUCCUUGAUCAUGCCUCCAGUGGAGUUUUACCUUUUACGGCUACUGUGGGCACAUGGUUUUUAAGAUAUACUGCAGUAGACACUGCUUCCGCCCAAAAGCUUUUCUCCAGGCCUGCGUCACUCAACAUAGUCCGUUCUCUCUCAACAAUUGUACAAUUUGCAUACUCAUUCACACCGUUUUGUUCUGGAAUGGAAGCAAUUGUUAGUUGAUGCUGUAUGCCAUAUUUCUUCAGGAACUGUGCUAAAACUCUGUUGUCAUACUCUCCGCCAUUGUCGGAUCUCAAGACUUUUAAUUUCAGACCCGUGUGGGUCUCCACCAGAUUCUUGUAUUCCACAAUUUUAUUGACAAAUUCACUUUUAGCUUUCAUGAAAUACACGUGUCAUCCUUGUAGCAUCAUCAAUAAAUGUUAUAAAAUA